UACGGAGGGGCUAGCGUUGUUCGGAAUUACUGGGCGUAAAGCGCGCGUAGGCGGAUUGGAAAGUUGGGGUGAAAUCCCGGGGCUCAACCUCGGAACUGCCUCCAAAACUAUCAGUCUAGAGUUCGAGAGAGGUGAGUGGAAUUCCGAGUGUAGAGGUGAAAUUCGUAGAUAUUCGGAGGAACACCAGUGGCGAAGGCGGCUCACUGGCUCGAUACUGACGCUGAGGUGCGAAAGCGUGGGGAGCAAACAGG
rnacentral:rRNA from 1 species